UUAUCACCAACAGAAAACAGAGUUGCGGGCUAGCCUCACUCAUUCGUUGCCGUUCACAUUUUCGGUCGCGACAACGAUGAACGAGAUGCUGCUAUUGAUGUUGAGGAUUCUGAUUCUGAUUCCAAUUCCAAUUGUGCUCUUUCACUUUUUAGCAAACUGUUCAAAAUUGACGGUUGGGGCUUUCCUUACUUCUGUGUUAACGUUGCCGGUGACGAUGUCUUUCCAGGAGAUUGAUUUGCUAAAGCCUCCAAUCUGAAAUGUCGUGGCGAACUCGAGUUACAACUCCCUCUUGUUGUUCGGUUUCCUGAUGUUUUUAAGGAUCGUCUUGAGUCUAUCCAUGUUACUUUUGACGGUUCACUUCAAUCGCAGAGUUUGGGUUAGAAGCUAGGUCGAAGCUUCUGGUUUCCAGGGGUUUCAAAGACAUUUAAUAUAUUUAUACGGAUUAGAUUGGGAGGAAGCUGGUAUUGAACACUGUUAUUGUUCUUGAGAAAGAGGAAAAGCUUGAUAUGGUGGUUGAGAUCAGCGACAAGCUCUGCAUUUUUCCUGUAAUUGUUGUUCGUGCAAAUUUGAGGACAAAGCAUUCUGGCCAUUUUGGUGCAACUUCUAGUGAUAAAGGAAUAUAAAUUGAAUGUUAUUAAGCGUUAUGAAGAGUUAUAAUAGCUUGGGGAAGGUGGGUCGAUGCCAACAUAAAUCCGUCUAUGGUCUUGUUUAGAUGCUGUUAUAUUACCUGUUUCAGAAGUGAGAACAAGAAAGGAGAAAGAAGUUACUGAAGUUUUGAGGCGUGAACAAUAGCUCACACACUAUUAAGUGGAAACAAUGUAAGUGUGAUUUAAAAGCAAAGUCAUUUUACCCAAGUAAAGCGGAAGUUGAAUUCGCAUCCUUUAUACCAGAUGUCCAGUUGAUCCAGAUCAAUAUCAUGAAUUGGUUUAUUAUUGGUUUUCUGAAGAAGCACAAGUAAGUCAAGUUAAAAAGAGAUUAUGUCAUGCACUGAUGAAGAUGGAAGAGAGUAAAAUUAUUUUGUAUUAGAUUCUAGCUGCUUUGAUAUUGAGAGUAAAAUUAUUAGUAUUGUUUUGUAUCUUGUUCAGGUGAAUAUGAUUUCACGUAUAUAAGGAGAAGAUUCACUUAAGAAUCUUCAUAAUGGUGUGUUUGGACUUUGGAAUAGCCAGUAUGAGCAUUUAUCAAGGUAGGAAGUGCAUUGUCCCAGUGGGUCUAGGAGAUGAUGAUCAGUGCAUAGAAGAUGAUUUUACUAAAUUUGCUGAUGUUUUGAGUUCACCUGAAAAGUAUUCUUUCGAGAUUUGUUGCACCCUUAGUUUCAAACUUUAUUCAUUUAUCUUGCUAAGUUAAGAAAUAUGUGAAUCGGUGUAUAUAUAUUUUAGAUUAAUUACAAUGGUAUA